UACGUAGGGUGUGAGCGUUGUCCGGAAUUAUUGGGCGUAAAGAGCUUGUAGGCGGUUUGUCGCGUCUGCCGUGAAAAUUCGAGGCUCAACCUCGAACUUGCGGUGGGUACGGGCAGACUAGAGUGUGGUAAGGGAGACUGGAAUUCCUGGUGUAGCGGUGAAAUGCGCAGAUAUCAGGAGGAACACCGAUGGCGAAGGCAGGUCUCUGGGCCACUACUGACGCUGAGAAGCGAAAGCAUGGGGAGCGAACAGG
rnacentral:rRNA from 1 species